rnacentral:lncRNA from 1 species
GGACUUUCUCAUAAAUAUAUAUCGUCGUCUUGCCUGGCACUGGUACUGGUGCUCGUUCCAGAUUUUCAUGCCCGUUUGUUGUUGUGCUUAUCGCGAUUACGGGCACAAAGUCCAGAGAGCCGCAUUACCACCUGCAAGCAGCGGCAGGAGCAGCGCAGACCGUCCACAAAGUGCGUAUAUGAAAAUGCAAUUUAAUUAAGUAUUUUGUUCUGCAUGUGACAAAUCCAAGCUUAACACAGCCCAGGGGCUGUGCAGAGGAAACCCUGCCCCUCUGCUGGUAGUCUUUAAUUUUUAUCGCCUUGUAGUUGCCAAUUAAAAUGCAAUUCUCGUGCAAUUAAUUGCAUUUAACUGGCAGUUAAUUGCACAGAUUCUCUGCCUCAAGCUGCAAUCCCUUAAAACGUGAUAGGAUUUCGGGCUGCAAAGUAAAUUAAGAAACACAAAAACUUUGACAUUUAUAUUUGAUUGAGUGAAAAGCAUAAAUUGGAGCGGCUCACACAGUAAAUUCUGUAAAUAUUUCCGAUUGCAACGGCAGAAUGAAUCUGAUGGGAUUUUCCCUACUUUGGCCUCUUCUUUUUUGUUGAAAAAUUCUAUAAAAUAUAUGAAGAACUAUUACGAGUCGCUCGUGUAGUAAAAGAAAUACGAACAUAUUGCCAGAUUUUGACCAGCAUUUGACUGCAAUUUAUGUGGCAGAGCACACGUACAAGUUUUUUCGUGCAGAAAAGCGCCUUACAUGCAGGCCUACCCCCACAGACAUGGCUUACAGACAGUCGGCAAGUGGGCUUAUUUAUAAGAGCCCAGGGAAAAGCACUUUGGCCAGACAGUGGGGAUCUGCACUUACCUAUUGCGGCCGUUGUACGUUUUAUAGUAUUUAUGCAUGUCCUCUGCCAGCAGCAGGACUAGUGCAGAGAAGCUGCUUUUGGAAUUGGAGUGUGUGUAGAGCACACACACACACACACACACAUCGCAGGCACUCUGACAUUUGCCAAAAGUAACACUCCAGACUGAAGUGGAGCAGAGGCAGAGGCGAUGCAGUGCCAGUAGGCGCAUCAGAAAAUUACAUUUAAAAUAUAUUUUCCUUGGCAGCAGCAGGGGGGGAUGGCAGGGGGGAUAGACAUCUAAGCAAACAGCAAAAACAGCAAAUGGGCAACGAGCAAGAGGCAAGUGGCACAGGCAACAGAUGCCGCAACAACAGAAUUAACAAAAUAAAAACAAGUGCAGCCAGAGAACACGCACCAACAAAAUGGGUUGGGAGUUGGAAGUUCAGAUGAGAUGAGAUGGAAUUAAAUGUGAAAUGUUCUACAGGCGGAACGGGGGAGCGGCACUCAGCCUGUUUGCAUGUUUACACAAGCUCAACAUUUGUGACAGUGGGGGGGGACUCUCAUGUGAACGCAAGAUUGAUCCAUGGCAAACAAAGGAAAAAAGAAAAAGUCUUUCCUUCGAGCGGUCUGCGCUGGUGGCUAUCGCUCGUUUGUUUUGCUUAUUCCCCAUUUGUUGCUUUGCCUUGCUUUGCUUUGCUUACAGCUGUCCAGAUUUAUUACUAGCCCAAAAGGAAAAGACCGAGAAACAAAUCGCCAAACUUUUGCCAGCAACUUUCCACGUACAACUGCACUCGCUCGCUCGCUCGCUCUCUCUCUCUCUCUCUCAGGCAUUCUCCGUGAGUGGCCUUUUGUCAUAAAGCUUUAACACAUAAAAAUGUUAUUGUCCGAUAUGGAGUUAGGUUUGCUGUAGCUUAUGCUGAUUUGUGUUGACCCAGUAAAGCACAGAGCCCGAAAGAGAGAGAGAGAGAGAGACUGCAAGUUUUAUGGCUCUAAGACUGAUUUAGGAAAGCUUUAAAAGGGUCUCUGAAGUGCAGUGAGGCGUUGUCGUGACUCGGAAUUAUUGGCUAACAUUUCAGGCUCAAAAUCGACUGAUGCUCGCACAAUAAAUUGCCCUGAUUUAAGGUUCAAAUUUCACUGCAUGCUCGGCCAAUGUGUAACAAUAAAUUCCGAUAAUAUUGCAGUUUUUUUGUUAACCCACUUAACUCCAGCGCUGCCGCUACACCCGCAACGACACGCAGCGCACACCCCGGCAGAGUUUGCGCAAAGUUUCAGGCUCUUAUCUGCUGUCUAUCAGGAAAAUGUUAUGCGAUUUUGUUUACCUAUUUUAAUGAGAGCCGAAAAAUGCUCACACCAAGCGGAUAGCGCGAAAGGAGAACUCAAAACAUACACAAGCGAAAAACCAGGUCACAGCAAACAGAAUAGAAGGAGACCAAAAUUUAUGCAAAACUCAAAAACAAAGCAAACAAAAAAAAACGCACCAAAAGUCCAGGAGGAGGAAGCGGCCGAAGUGCGAAUGUGUUGUGUGUGUGUGUGUGUGUGUGUAUUGUAUCAAAUUGAAAUGCACAACAGUAAAAUAAUGAAUUCUUUUGUUUGUAUUUGCAUUUUGCUUGUUGUUGUUGACGGGCGCGCGCGUUUGCCAAAGAACCGAAAACCAAACCGAUUCUAACCAAAACACUGAAAAACAAGAAGGUGGCAGCAGGUCUGCCUACACAGCACGCCGAAACACUAAAUACCCUGGCAGGUGUCUGCUACACUGCUAGAAAUAUUAUGGAACUUACUGACAUUUUUGCAGAUGUGCCCCAAAGUUGGCACUGCCUGAUGUGAAAUUGUUUGUGGUGUGAAAAGGUUCCCAUCGGAUACCUGCCAUAUGCCAUAUUUAAAUAUUAUUUUUCCCAAGUUUUAAUGCCUCACAAAACCCUGCUAAGAGCCCCUAAUACCCCUGUGCAGUGUGCCAACAAUGAAGAAUGAAAAACACACGUCACACAGCAGCAGAACAGCAGCAGAACAGCAGCCCUAGCAGAAACAACAAAUGUUACAAAAGAACGCACGUGUAUGGCCACAGUCAAAAUAUAUUUGCAACUGUGUGGAUGGAAAUUAAGCAUAUAUGGAAAUUAAUGUGGGUACUGUGUAAAAGUUUUUUGUUGCUGUGUUCCCUUUGCUGCUGUCCAGCAGUGAAACGAAAAUGUACUCGCAACAGUCAACAGUCAACAGUUUGUGCAAAAAGUUUCUGACCCCAACAAAACGUAUACCAUAAAGUGUAUAAAUAAUUUACGAGUAUGAUCUGCUUUGUAAUACACACAAAGAGAGAGAGUGGAGCGAGAAGUGAACUCUUUUCGAUUGUCUUUCUUAAUUUAGUUGAUUUUGUUUUUGGUUCUUGGUUUUGGGCAGCUAAUUGCACUUCUUUAUGUGUGGGAAAAUGCAAAAAGAAAAGAGCAAUUAGAGCUGUUGAAAAUAAUUGCAUGGCUGGGCUGGCAGCACAAAGCCAGGAAGGAAUUCGAGGAAAAUUAUAAUUUGAAGCCCUAAUAACGCAGAAAGGUGUGCGCCAACGAAAGGAAGUUAGCUGAAGGCAAUCGCAUGGGCGUAGCACUGGGGGCGGGGUCGUGAGUUAAGUAUAACCCGAGUCGAGUCGAGUCAAGUCAAUCACGGGCGUAAGUGGCUGGAAAAUAGAUACGCGCGAAGGGAAGGCUGUGUGUGGGGUUGGGGAGUUUAUGACGGCGGCUGGAACGGAAUUUUAAUAUUAGAACAUGUGCGGUGGGGCAGGGCACGCCCACUGUUUGAGUUUUGCCCCAUGUUCGAUGUGUACCACACACACCCCCGCCGCCCCAUGUCUAAGUGCCAUCAAUAAAACAUUGAAAUGCCCACAACCAACACAGAUUUUCACAUCAAAAUACACUCCACUCGGCAUUAGCGUUUGCUGUUUAUAUUUAGCUUAUUCCUCUCGUCGGUUUAUGUUACCGCAAACUGCACACAAAGGGCUGAGUACGCCCGCCUCCUAAAAGUAAAAGCAAAUAAUGCACGGCAAACAUUUCAUUUAAACAAUCAACGUCAAUGAUCUGUAAACAACAAUGAAAGGGGUUUUUUCCUUUGCUUUUUACUGCCGAGCAAGAGGCGUGCACAUGCAUGGCCCGUACAUCAUACGAGAGGCACGAGGCACGGCCAUUCUACAGGGCAUAAACACACACUCACACAUCAAGCAUACGCCCUGUAAGACACAUUUGAUAUGAAGGUAGCUGCUCGCGGGUUACUUUCGGUCUACAAACCGUGAAAAUGUAUUAUUCAACAGCAACCGAAAACCCAAACUAAAUAGAACGAAAAGAAAAACGUGAGUGUACAGGCAGGCAGGCAACAGAAGCAGCCAGAGACAGCAGCAGGCAGGCAGGCAGCAGGCAACAAGAGAGGUUUCCGCCUUGCCAGCCUUGUUGCUGUUUGUGUUCUGUUCGUUGUUUUCGUAGCUGCCUCACACGUGCGCAUAAAAUGUGACUUCAACAAAAAUAAAUAAGCCACAAAAUGCUAAAAGCAUAGCUGAGCAUUUUCAAUGCUAAUUACGCUCCCUUAAAGCUAUCAAAAGCCAGUUGUAAAUUUCAUUUCGAGUGCCAUGAAAAUUUAGCCUUCUUCAUUAAGGCAGCGGCGCACACAUGAGACUGGAGUCACUGCCACUGCCACUGCCACUGCGGAUGCUUCUGGUGUCAUUGCAGCUGCUGCACUCUGCUCCGACUACGUUAAAAUUGACAAACAAGUUUUUGGGCGCUUGCUUAACACCAAGGCAAACACAUGUUUACAGCGACUCGCACACAGGCGCCCUGUGUGAGCAGAGUACUGCUCAAGUAAUUAUUAAGUGCUGCUCUUUGCGGUGCCAACAGGCUUGUGUGUGUGUGUCUCAGUUUUUUCCUCCUUGGCAAUAUUUUUGAGGGCAAAAGUCGCAGCCACAUUGUCAACAAACUUGAAGGAUUAUCAGAGUCAACAAAUGUUGAGGCAGAGCCUUAAGUCGAGCGGCUAGCUGGGCUGGCCACUAAACUAUUCAAAUAUGCAUUUAAGACAAACAUUUGCCUCUGACAAAAUGCAAUUUUGACCAAGAGAACGAGCAGCUGCUACAGCUACAGCUACAGCUACAGCUCCAGCUCUGUCGCUGUCUGUCUGCUCAUGAGUUAUUAUUGAACUAAUAAUUUAAUUUUGCUGUAAAUAUUCUUGCGGUCAUUUCGUUUGAAACUUAAUUUUAAUUUCAUUAAUUUAUUUCAGACCAUAAAUUGCCAGUAAAGAUAUUUUCGAGGCAGCCAGGCAGGCAGGCAGGCAGACCUUUUGCUAGCAAUUACAUUCCCCAUUUUAAAAGUAUGUCCGUGAGUGUGUCCGUGUGUGUGUCCGUGAGUGUGUCCCUGCCCAAGCGCUGGCAAAAUUAGUGCUCGUUUUAAUUGAGUUUGUUAAUAAUUCAGUAAUGGCCACUACAUAGCAUUCAUUCCACAGCCAGCAAGCCAGCAAGGCAGCAGUCCUUUGCCCGGACCGGGACGAGUCGAAGUUGGCUAAAUGGUUACAUGGCAGCUGGCAGCAACAUUUUAUGUGAUGUUAUAUGACUGCAGGCCAUAUACAAUUUCCAUAUGCCAUAUCCUCAUAUGUAACUGCAAUUGCAUUCCUCUCUCUCUCUCUGUGUGUGUGUGUGUGCGUGGCAAAAACUAAUUAACUAGUUCUGCAUUUGGCUCAUUUCAUUUGGAUGCUGCUGCUGCUGCUUUUUAUGAUUUUGAUUAAUUUUCAACCAUAAAUAUUUAUGCAGCUUUAUUAUGAGGUGCACACGGGGGGAGGCUGGGGGCAUUUAGUUUAGCUACGACUCCGAUGCCGUCUGAGAACUCGACGCACAAAGCAACGAGGGCAUCCCGGACAGUCAGGACAGUCAGCCGGGGCAGGCCUUUAAUGUUUUCCGGGUCAGUCACAGUCACUCACUUCCCUUGAGCCCGUUGUCGGCACUUUUGUUUGUCAGCAUGGACGAUGACACCGGCAGACAGCAGCGACAGACAGUGGGACAGACGAGGCCAGGCACUGGGCCAGAGACAGGCGAGGCCGACAGGGGCCAACAGAGCCGCUGGCUGCGCUUUUUACAUGGGGCAACAGGAGCAGCAGCAGUGGCAGUGGCAGUGCCAGGAGCAGGACAAAGGAGGCUCUCUCUGUCCUCUGUGCACUUGAGCGACUAAGCUGCAUCAGCUCAGUGGGCAGCAGCUGCGACUCAGGAGCUGACAAAUAAGCAGCAGAGAGGCAGGAGGAGCAUCAGACAUGCCGCAGCAGACAGAGAGAGAGAAAGGGGGGAGCGUGGGUGUCGUCUACUUUUCAUGCGGACAAAUUGAGCAGGACAUUGAAUUGUCAACCAGAGGCUACGCAGCAGCCCUUGACUGACGGAGCACACCGCCCUCGUGCCGUCCAGGAUGGCCGCCAGAAAGUCGCCAUCGCCAUAGCCAACGUGGCUGUCGUUGUCGUUUUCCCACUGCACUGCUGGCUUGAUUAUAUUGUUGACGUUGAUGUUGAUGAAGCAUGAUUUGAGUAUCUUUAUUGCAUUAUACUUAAAAACUAUUAGCGACUCGAUGGGUCCAGCCAUUGCCACUGCGCUUGACGUGAUUGCAUUAGACCGGAGCCCGGACAGGGUCUAGACCCAACUAGCGCUAAGCUGGUUACACUUUUGUUGCGUCGACCGUUGAGUGAUUGAUGUUAUUAGUCGCUUGCAAUGAAGCUUAAAUGCAGCUGAAUGAGAAAUCAAAUGAUCUCUCCCUCGCUCGCUCGCUCUGGGCAAGUAAUUUAUGCGCUGAUAACAAAGGGACUGACUUAACGAGCUUCUCUUUUUGUGCGUCAAUUUAACCAGCUAGAAAAUAAUGGCCCAAAAAACAGUUUACAACAUCUUGAUAAUGUUUAAUUUAUUAAUCCCAUCAAAGAGCAACAAUAGCAAUAAAAUGUUAACAAAUGACUGACAACAAGCAGCAGCAAAGCAGCAGCAAGGCAAGUUCCCAGAAGGAGUCCAAGGAGCAAGUCAAACCCCUUAUUGAGGCGUUGCAUGACAUUCGACUCGCUCGCUCACUGUGGCCUGCUUCGAGAUACAAAUCAAAAUUGAGCAUUUGAGAGUUUUAUUGCAUACGCUGGAGACAGGAACUAUGAAUUACGAUGCCACCCAAGGGGAGCAAAGGAAAGUGCCAGACCCAGACCCAGAGUCGAGUUGAGUGUCGCCUAAUCAGCUGGCCUUUGUGUGGCGUACACCUUAUCUUGAUAUAUACUCGCUGAGAGAGUGUAUUCGCACAUUUCUAGCACGAGCUGCCAGCACGCAAACGCUCAGCCACAUCGGGGCGGCCUUUGUUUGCCUUUGAUUUCCAUGCAAUGACGAUAAUGAUGAUGAUAGCUCUGCCCAUGAUGAUGUUACACCUUGUUGGGGCUGUCGGUAAUAACUCAAUUGGUCAGAUCGAUGGCGUUUUGAUAGGUCGCCGCUUUGUAUUGUGUUUUUGUGAGUGUAUUUGCCUUGAUUAUUAUUUGCAAAACGAACUGUGAGGCCUUGCCAUGCGGCGGCGCCCCACAAAAAAUCCAAUUUACCAAGUGUCAAAAGUGGCCAAUUUACUUGUUACUCUUUUUGCCAUUUUGCCACUUUGCCACAUUGCCUGACUUUCAGCUCCGUUCUGUCAACAAUGGGAAUCGGAGUGAAAUUGGCUGGAAGUCCAGCCGCGACAAGGGCCGGGCCACAAACUUGCAAAUGAAACUUUGCAAACUAAGUAAUAGAAAUGUUAUUAUUUGUCUAGCAGCGGCACACACACACACACACACACAUACACACUCCAUCCAUAAGUUGGGGAACCUUGCCUCGGUUUUGUGCAAGUUUUUGUUGCUCGUAAACUUCGCUCAUUAAAUAGCAUAUCCGAUCGGGUAUUGAUUUAUUUGUAGCUACAUUACUUCCAGCGAGCUCUCUCUCUCUCUCUCCUCUUUCAUUAUAAUCUAAAAUAUUGAACUUUGCCACUAAUUAACAUUCACGCACGCCCCUGCCCCUGCCCCUGCCCGUGCUCGCCUUUGAUUUCGCCUCUCUUGUGGCUUCAAGUUGAGACAACUUUUCAGCACAGAAUUUAUACAAAGUCAUCGAGGGGUGGCCCAACGUUCCCUUUGCUCCUGUGGGCCUGAAAGCCUGAAAGCCUGAAAUCAAAAUAAUUUAGUUACCACCUUCAGCGUCGUCGUCGUCGUUGUCGUUGUCGUUGUGCUGCAAUCGAUGUUGGCUGUCGGAAACUUUAAAACUUUUGCCCAACUGUUUGCACAAUAUCGCAUGUUGGGCCUCGCUUCAAGCACACCCCAGGCCCCAAGCCUGGGGCCAUAGAGUUCACCUGUGACUUAGAAUAACUCUGGACUGGCGGCGUAUAUUAUUACAACAGUUCAUCAAAAACGGUGAGCCGAAUGCCGUACUGUAUUUAUAGUCGAUGCUGAGCUGAGAGUCGACGUCAUCGCUAAUGUAGAUGUAAACGUUGCCGCUUUCGGAACGCCCCUGGGAGUCGCUUUUAUCAAGCAGCCCAUUGGGUAUUUUUGGGUAAACUUUGCCUGCCUGCUGACUGCCUGCCUGCUGACUGCCUGACUCACCUGGCUGGGCCGAGCCUUUAGUCACAAAAAGUUUUCGCUUUCGAUUUGCUGCCGACCCCUUGCAACCCGAGCCGUUGCCAGGCCGUGGCCAAAACGCAAAUUGUUGAAAGUUUGCACUAAAGUCGUUGAUUUCAUAGCUGAGAGGUGAGCUCAACUCGUUCAGAAAGUCUGCCAAAGUAGUUGACGUGAAUCGAUGGGUGGAGUGGGGAGGCACGAGACCAGGAACCAGGAAGCAGCCAGCAAGGCACGUAAUUGAGUAAAGUUGCUGCGGUGCAAAUGCGAACGAUCCACUUGAGAAGCGAAGCGCUUCGGUAUGUUGGUGUUUCGAUAUAUUGCCUCUGCGUCAGCGUCUGGCUCUGGCUCUGGCUCUGGCUCUGGCCACGACGCGACAAUGAAAACUAACAAUAACUUUCAUGCAGCGCACAGAGAGGAGAGGCACAACCUCUCUCUCUCUCUCCCUGCCACAACCUCUUGAAUGGCCAACAAAACUAAAAUCAUAGGCCAAGUCCCAAGAGAUUUGCGAGGCGCAGCAAAUACACUCGAAAUAUACGUACUCCUGGGCUUUUUAAUUGUCUACCACGGAAUGUGUGUGUGCUGUCCGUAUGCUGUCCGUGUAUGCUGUCCGUAUAAGCACUCUGAUUGUUUCCUUGCUGCUGCUGCUUCCGUUCUGUGUGUGGAUUGGGUCUAUGUGUGCUGGCUUCCGUUUUUGGCUUCAGCUGGGAUACAUUUUGUGAGCAUUAUUUGCUUCGUUUUUUGGUUGAAUGUUGCAGCAGGCAGCAAGCGCUUCAAUUUUUGACAUUUUGACAGCAGUUGUUGCAGUUGAAUCAGAAAGUUACUCUCUUGAGUAAUGGCGCACAGCUUUUUCACUUACAAAAACGCGCAAUUUUCUGUGGAUACACACAGCCAGUGUGUACAUACACAUUUGCCAGACAUUUUCCCUCAGCGAAACUGAGCACAAAUUAAAUAUUUAUGUGCAUAAGCUAAAUGUGAAUGGUUGGCGGUACGAUCUCUCUCUCUCUCUCUCUCUCAGCAGCAUAAUGGAGCUCCAAAUUGAGAAGGGAUAAAUUUCGUUUUGGAAAUGAGAUACUUUGCGGCACGUAACUGAUGGAACUUUGAUGGACAGCCGAAGGCACAACAUUGUAUAUGAAAAUACAACAUUAAUAGGGUAAAAAAUUAAAGCGAAAAUUAACGUUAAAAUUUGACUAAUAAUAUGUAAAACUUGAAGUAAAAAUUCGCAUAAAAAUUAAAGUAAAAAUUCGUUUAAAAAAAGUAAAACUAAACGUAAAAAUUGCUGUAUAAAUAAAAAUAAAAACUAGCGUAAAAGUGAAGUGCAGAUUAAUGUUAACAGCAUAGAAAAAAAUGUAUAAAAAUGCAUAAAUAAUUAAAUACAAAUUAACGCAAAAAUUAAAGUAAAAAACUCAGCUAGGAUAAUUUACUCAAUUACCAAGAGGAAACCUUGGCACCGUUAAUCAUUUGUUGAUUAAUAAUAAUGCAAUUUGUGCAUUGUUUUGAUUCCAUUUAAAAAACAGCUAUAAAUAAAUUGAUAUUUAAUUAGUGCAAAAACAUUUUGCGCCUUGUCAAAGGCGAAAAAGGAUCAACUUUGAAUGCUAUAAUUUGUACGGCCAACGAGUUUAUUGCAUUGUUUAAAGCCCGAGCAAGAUGAACAUAAACUAGCUAGCUGUCAAGUUAAAUUUGUUAUUUGCAAAGAGAGUGAGAGAGAGAGAGAGAGAGAGAGAGAGAGAGGCAUGACAAAAAAUGGCACUGGCAUUCAAUGAAUUCAAUGAAUGAAUUCAAUUCAAUUCAAUGCAAUUCGUUCAAUGAGUUAAUAUAAUUAGUAAAAUGUAUUCCAAAAUUGAUUGAAUCAUGCCAUUAUAGUUUAAUAACAUUUUAACGGUUGAGCAAAUUCUAGAAGUGCAUUUUAUGGCCAGACAUUCCAUUUGCAAUGGAAAUUUUGUUGAUUAAAAUAUGAAAUUACAGCACCAGCUCCACUUGAGUGCAAUUACACUGAGAGAGAGAGAGUGAGAGAGCGAGUGUGAGCGAGUUAGCUAUUAAACAUAUUUGACUUGCCGUCGAAGUGAGCAAAAGCCCCUCCCCACACACGGACAGCUCUUGUCGACUGCUGAAGGAUCCUUCACUUCACUCUCUGCCUGUGCCUCUCUGUUGUAUGAUAAUAAUUCAACAAAUUGUUGUUUAACAAGGAGAGACAGCCACAGUCGCGCGCUGCGGCUGGAGUGGGUGCCACCAGGCUCUCGAGCCUCGAGCCUCGAGCCUCGAGCCGCGCGUCGUGUUAAUCGCUUUAUAUGCAAGCGAGUGUGCACAGUGCGGGAGGGGGGUGGAGCGGGGGCAUGAUGUCUUGUUUUAAUGCAGCGAUUCCCUCCCUCUCUCAUUCGCUUGUGUUUUGCGUACCAGGCCCUAGGGCAAUACACGCACAAAUGCCGAAAUAUCUUUUACCUUUUGCUCUCCUUUUCCUUUUCCUUUUCCUUUUCCGUUUCACGAAAUGAAACAAUUAGGAGAAAAAGUUAAGGACCCUCCCCCACCCCUUUGCCGCUCUGUGUGUGGGUUUUUUGGGACAUUUCCCAACCCUUUUUAUAGCUCGGCAAACAUGUGUAUGCUGGUAAACAAGGCUGUGUGUGAGUGUGUGUCUCUGUGUGCGUUUAAUGACAAAAUAAUUAGAAAACUUUUUGUGUACUUUGCCUCUGAGUUGAGUCUCUGCAUCGUAGUUGCCGGCAAACCCAGCCGUUUGCCAGGCCGAUGCCUCACAGCCUCACAGCCUGCCAGUCUCUCCCUGCCCCACCUCGCCCCUGUCAAUGUCACCGCCAAUUUGCUACUUCUGCUCGCCUGUGUGGGGCCACCCUGCUACGCCCUCAAAGCUGUUUUCUCUGGCCUUACAACGUACAUCUGGAAAUUGCCAUAGCAAAAUCAAGUGAGAGAGAGAGAGUGAGAGAGAGUGAGCGCCUGGCCUCGGUGUCUUUGGCAAUUACCAGGCAGGGGUUGCGACAUUGACACCUGUGAGUGGUGGAGCGGGGCAGCAACUUGAAUGCCAGAGCUGCGUAAAUGUUCUAAAUUUAAGCAACGCUGACACACAAUAUUUUCCGUGGGCCCCCCACGCGAUUCUUUCACUUAUUAUUUUGGCCGUGGGUGUGGGACGGAUUAAAUGGCUCAAAGCAGCUUAUUGCUGGGGGGAUUUGGUAUUGGUUUUUAAUUAUACUCGAAUGAAUGCAAUUUGUAUUAAAUGAAGACCACCGCAAGCCGACUGCGGUGUGUGACUAAUGCGCUAAUCCACGAGGCAGGGGCAGACGCUCAUUUGUCGGAAUAUUUUAUUGGUUUGAGCGGGCAGGCAGGUCAGUUAUUAAAUACCUGAACAGAUGGCCACAAAAACUUGCUGCCAGACAGGCUGAAAAUGAGACAGACUUUAGUUGGGCGCACACUGCGUAUGCGUAUCGCUGGCGCUGCUUGGCGGAGUGGAGUGGAGACAAAGCCUGCGGUUUACCACAAAAAGACAAGCUCAGAGGAUGAAGCUGUAACGUAUUGGAAAGUAAAGCCCAACAUUUGAUUCCAAAGCGUGUCCUGAAGGCUAGAGUUGGGAUGGAGCUGCACAAUCCAUGGCCAUAACGAACAUGUUAAUGCAACGCAAAGGCAAAGAUGGCAAGAGGUUUCUUUUUUCUUCAAUAAAUUUGAAGCUGCUGCUCACAUACGUUGCCAAGUAUUUGCACUGACCAAAGGGUAGCAAAAGUAGUAGAAAAAACAUUAAGCUAAAGGCAAACUUUGUUCGGGUGCGCCACGUGCUGGGCGGGCAGUGGGGCAGAGAGCCAGCAGCUAGUUGAUUUUCCACAGUUGAGUUGAGUUUAUUUUGCUGCCACUGUUCGUUGUCCAGGUGAGAGGCAAGUCCUGAAGCUGGAGCCAACAGCCAGCAGCCAGCUCCGACAUUGCAUACAUUUUUGCUGCGUGCCUUGGCUGGGUUUUUGCUGCUGCUGGGCCCCCCGGCCAACUCGAGCGUAAAAUGUUGAUGAAGUAACCGCACAUGCCUGCUGCCUGCUGCUUGCUGCCUGCUGCUUGCUGCCUGCUGCCUGCCCCCAAACUGGCCCCACCUCAAGUGGGUGUUUAGGCGCAAAGUUUUGUGGGGAUUCGGGGCUGUCUAAGCGCAAAUUAGUUUGUCCAGCAAGAGGAGAGCAUCAAAGUUUGGGGUUAGUGCAACAUGCAGCAAAACCCAUGUUCCUUUUUCUCUUUUCCUGCCACUUGUGCCACACAACAUACGUAAAGCGUGGCACAAAAAAUGCCAACGGGAAAAACGAGCAGAGAGAGAGAGAGAGCGAAGAGAAAAAGUUUUCUUUUUGCAACUAGAGCAUGUCAUGAUGCACGGCCAGCAAUGCCACGCUGCCACUAUGGAUGUGUGUGGCACAUGCAUCGUUACCGAAGAACAACAACAGCGAACUCGCAAUUGGGCAUUCGGAUUCACAUUUCGGAUACAGUUCCAAGGACAAUUGUAUAACCAUGUUAAACAGCAAUCAGAGUGGAAAUACACACACAAAUCCCCUGCCCUGCCCUGCCCUGCCCUGCCCGCUGGUAAUUUUGCAUGCAACACUUAAUGCUUGUGGCGAAAGUGGCGUUGAUUUUUUUUCGUUGGGUUCCUUUUUUUGUGCUGUAUUACAUUUCCCUACCAAAACAGUGUCGCUAAAGUUUUGUUGCUGCGGGAAAUGUAUACAAAAUUUGCUGCUGCUGCUGCUGCUGCUGCACUCGAAAUUUGAGUGAGUGCCUGCCGUGCACCCUGCCAGGACGAGGGCUGAGCUGGCUCUGGCUCUGGCUCUGGGAUAUGCAGGCAAGCGUGGCGUGAGAUGUUUGCCAACAUGUACAACAAUGUGGCUGCUGCUGGCUGGUGGUGUUGUUGCCACUGCUUCUGCCGCUGGCUCUGCUGCUGCUGCUGCCGCGUUGUCUAAAGUUUGAAGUGCGCAUAAUAAGCCAGGCAGAGAGCGAGAGAGAGCGAGCGGGAGGUGCACCCAAACUAUGCCAAAUUAGGCACUGCAGAUAGUGCAGAGCGUAGUGAGUGCUCUGCAGUAGAGUUCAAUGAGCUGCCACCCCGCCCGAGUUUACUGUGUUUCUUGUUAGCUUUGGAAAGUGAAACUAAUUUCCGCUGCAGACUUUGCAGUUCAAGUACGAGUAUUCAAGCCACUUUUGGCAUAGUUUUCCAUGUGGGUCACAAGCGCAAUUUAUCCGCGAAUUAUCUUUAUAAACUCAUUCAUCGAAUUACUUGCUAAUCCACUUAAAAAUGAACAACUAAUAAUUCUCUCACCUUCUUACCGUGUCUUGCAGCGGAAUGAAAAGGGAAAAUGCAACAACUGAAGCUCCUCAAUGCCACACGAAAACGGCAGCAGCAGCAGCAGACACAGCCAAAGUUAUGUCCGCGGGGCAAGAACU